rnacentral:rRNA from 1 species
AGGGUAUUGGCCUACCGUGGCUAUGACGGGUAACGGGGAAUUAGGGUUCGAUUCCGGAGAGGGAGCCUGAGAAACGGCUACCACAUCUAAGGAAGGCAGCAGGCGCGCAAAUUACCCAAUCCUAAUACAGGGAGGUAGUGACAAGAAAUAACAAUACAGAACCUUACGGUUUUGUAAUUGGAAUGAGUUAAGUAUAAACCCCUUAACAAGUAUCAAUUGGAGGGCAAGUCUGGUGCCAGCAGCCGCGGUAAUUCCAGCUCCAAUAGCGUAUAUUAAAGUUGUUGCAGUUAAAAAGCUCGUAGUUAAUCUUCUGUUAAUUUUUAUAUAUAAUAUCACGAUAUUUAUAUAAUAUUAACAUAAUUCAUAUUACUUUUUAGUAUAUGAAACUUUACUUUGAGAAAAUUAGAGUGCUUAAAGCAGGCUAUUGCCUUGAAUACUCCAGCAUGGAAUAAUAUUAAGGAUUUUUAUUCUUCUUAUUGGUUCUAGAAUAAAAAUGAUGAUUAAUAGGGACAGUUGGGGGCAUUUGUAUUUAACAGUCAG